AUGCAAAGUAAGCAUGUGAGUGUUAAUUACCUGUUGCUUACCCGAAUUCGGAGCUCUCCAGGAGCGUUCGCAGAUCUUCCUCGCAGCGUGUCCGAUGCUGCCGCGUUCUACCGGGCCGAGGAGGGGAGCUCAAUGGAGAAGGUCUUCUGGUCUCAGUAUGCUGAGGCCGGACCUCCGGUGCCCCUUAGCGACCAGCUGAAGCAGCUGGUCGAGCUCCACAAGGCGGCCGAACAGGCCAUGAAGGGCCUCAUAGUUCGGCUGUGGCCUAAGGAGGCCAUGCCUAGGAGCUACUUCGGCCUGGUGCGGCGGCUGGUGGAUGCGUGCUCGUGGGUUGAAGUCAUCAAGCACUCCGCCUGUAUUGAAGGUGCCCGUCGGGCCCUUGCCCGCGCAAAGGUGCACUGGGGCAAGAUGGAUGCCCAGAAGCUCGUGACGGACCCGCCACCAGAGGGCAAGGAGCAUCGCACGCCCGAGAUGUAUUAUAAGAGUGUGCUGAAGGGCGCCCGCACUAUUGCGGGUGAGUGCUCCAAAGAUGUAAUUUUUGAGUAG
rnacentral:rRNA from 1 species